rnacentral:lncRNA from 1 species
UGUAGAGUCUCAAACAACUCUUGAUGACAGAGCCAUCUUGUUCUUGAUGAACUUGCAAUAUCCAAAACGAAUUACACCAUAAAGCAAAAUUAUUCCGUUUGCAGUAUCAAAUGUUUAUUUGGAGUACUGUUUGCUUAAGUCUAAAACUGUUUUAUGCAGCACGCACCACACAAAGUUAGAAUGGAAGUAUAUAAAUGAAGAACCAAAUUAUAAUGCAAAGAUUGGCUUUGCAAAGUUUAUAGCAACAGCAAUAUUUCAUCCGUUUGAGAUGAAGUGAUUUUUGAAGUUUAAAAUCUAGUGAGUAUGGGUUCAACUAGAAACCAAAUUAGUUGAGAAGAACUCUAGUGUCUCACAAUUGAUUCCAAAGGGGCCAAAUACAAAUCAAAGUAUAAAGGAAAAUUCACACUAGAGAGCUUCAACAUAGUUUGGAUUAUUGUGUAGCCAGUUAAAUUUAUACAUAUAACAUGGUAGAUUGGUAUUUACCCAUAUGUAAAUGGAGGACUCUUGGAUCAAAAAUCAACAAGCAUUAUCUACUCAGAUGUUAAUUCCUACUAACUCACAACUAAUUUGGGUUAAUCAACUCCUAAACGAAAACAAGCAACGGAACCAACAGCUCAUUGCAGAACAAUUCAGUACAGAUAUUGCACAGAAUAUUUUACAAACUGAAAUUGGGGAAGGGGAUGAUUCAGUUACCUGGCCAAGGGAGAAAAAGGGUUGCUACACCGUGGCUUCAGGAUAUUUACUGGCACACUAGUUCUACCACCCUCCACUCGAGCUGAUGCCACUCCACUGCCAGCAGAAGAAGCUCUGGACUUCUAUUUGGGACCUGAAAGUGCAACCGAAAAUAAGAAUCUUCCUCUGGAAAGUAAUGCAUUGCCAGUGAACCAACAACUCCAUGGAAGAAUCAGAACAAUACCCCCAACCUGUCGAAGAUGUACCGCGAUGGAAGAAACAGUCCAACACUGCAUAAUUAGCUGUGGUCAGUCAUGGUCCACUUGGCUCAGAUCCAAAAUUGGAGUCCCUGGAAGUCAAACGGACCAAGAAGUAUGGCAACGGUGGAUGGAGUUAACUGAGAAGUUGAAAAGAAGCAGAAAUGGCGUGAAGAAAUUGAGAGAAGCUGCAAACCUGAUGUGGGAGAUAUAGAAGGCUCGCAACAGAUUCAUGUUUGACGGUGAAGAGUUCGAUGAGGCUUGUGUCCUUGAACGAGCCAGAAGGAGUGAAUCAGAGUUCCAAGCGUGCUUGCUCGACUGAGGAAUGCGAAGAAGAUUAGAAAUGUCUGAAGAAGAAGUUUUCACUUUACUCUUUCCUUCCCUUUCAAUGUUGUUUCCUGAUUUAGAUAAGUUUCGUUGGGAAAUCUCUCUUUUAGUCUUGUAAGUGGUCCAUCGUGGACCCAAAUCC